GCUGGUAGGCGAAAAAGAGAAGCGCGGAGAUGGUACCAGAGUACCGCGGGACACGAGAAAUCCCGUGGGAAGCAGGGGGGACCACCCUCCAAGGCAAAACACAGAUAUCGACCGAUAGCGCAUAGUACCAUGAGGGAAAGGUGAAAAGCACCCCGGGAGGGGAAUGAAAGAGAACCUGAAACCGUAUGUUUACAAGCAGUCGGAGACCGCUUAAUAAUAAGGUCGACGGCGUGCCUAUUGAAGAAUGAACCGGCGAGUUACGAAGCCUGGCAAGGUUAAGCAGGAAAUGCGGAGCCGAAGCGAAAGCGAGUCUUAAGAGGGCGCAAGUCAGGAAGCGUAGACCCGAAACCACAGUGAUCUACCCAUGUCCAGGUUGAAACACAGGUAAAAAUGUGUGGAGGACCGAACCUAUAUCCGUUGAAAAGGGUUAGGAUGAGGUGUGGGUAGGGGUGAAAUUCCAAUCGAACCCGGAGAUAGCUGGUUCUCCCUGAAAUAGCUUUAGGGCUAGCCUCAGGGAAAAGAUUGCAGGCGGUAGAGCACUGAUCAGGAGAGGGACCUACCCGGUUACCAAACCCAGUCAAACUCCGAAUGGCUGCAAUCAUACCUGGGAGUCAGACUGCGACUAAUAAGGGCCGCAGUCAAAAGGGAAACAGCCCAGACCAUCAGCUAAGGUCCCCAAUGCCGUGCUAAGUGGCGAAGGAUGUGGCAUUUCAUAAACAACCAGGAUGUUGGCUCAGAAGCAGCCACCAUUUAAAGAGUGCGUAAUAGCUCACUGGUCGAGAGACGCUGCGCCGAAAAUGUCCGGGGCUCAAGCACGGAACCGAAGCUAUGGCAUGAUAGCAAUAUCAUGGGUAGGGGAGCGUUCUUAUAAGGAAGAAGCAUGACCGGAAGGACAUGUGGACAAAUAAGAAGUGAGAAUGCCGGUAUGAGUAUCGAAAAGAAAGGUGAGAAUCCUUUCCACCGAAAGCCCGAGGGUUCCUGAGCAACGAUCGUCGACUCAGGGUAAGUCGGGACCUAAGCCGAGGCGAGAAGCGUAGGCGAUGGACAACAGGUUGAAAUUCCUGUACCGGAUCAAGUCGAUCGAGCGAAGGAGCGACGCAGGAGGGCACAUGAUCGCGCGGCUGGAAGAGCGCGUCCAAGUGCGUAUGUUGCAGCAGAGGAAAACCCCUGCAGCUAAAAGCAGAGACAUGAUGGGGAGUUAAAGGAAACUUUGACGAACUCAUGGAUCCCACACUGCCAAGAAAAACUUCUAGCGAGACAAGAUCCGCCCGUACCGUAAACCGACACAGGUAGGCGGGGAGAGAAUCCUAAGGUGCGCGGGAAAACCCUCGUUAAGGAACUCGGCAAAUUGCAUCCGUAACCUAGGGAGAAGGAUGGCCCCCGGUCAGUGAAGAGCAGAAACGCUCAGAGCUAAAAGGGGCGGCAGAAAAGAGGCCCAAGCAACUGUUUACCAAAAACACAGGUGCCUGCGAAAGCGAAAGCUGAAGUAUAGGUGCUGACGCCUGCCCGGUGCCGGAAGGUUAAGGAGAGAAGUUAGCGAAAGCGAAGCAUCGAACUGAAGCCCCGGUGAACGGCGGCCGUAACUAUAACGGUCCUAAGGUAGCGAAAUUCCUUGUCGGGUAAGUUCCGACCCGCAUGAAAGGCGUAAUGAUUUGGGCACUGUCUCAACGAGGGGCCCGGUGAAAUUGAAAUACCUGUGAAGAUGCAGGUUACCCGCGACUGGACAGAAAGACCCCAUGGAGCUUCACUGCAGCUUGAGAUUGAAUCCCGGUGACAGAUGCACAGGAUAGGUGGGAGGCGCCGAAGCAUUGCCCUAGGGCGGUGCGGAGCCGAUGUUGGGAUACCACCCUUCUGUUGCUGAGAUUCUAACGCGAGGAGUAACGACCCUGCGGACCCUCUCAGGCAGGCGGUUUGACUGGGGCGGUCGCCUCCGAAAGAGUAACGGAGGCGCCCAAAGGUUCCCU
rnacentral:rRNA from 1 species